AGAUCAAGGAACCCCUGCAGUAAGGUGCAUCAGCACUUUCCUUAAAAAAUAAAUAAGAUGUGCGGGGAACAAAAAAAAAAAAUCCCAUCAGCAGAUCUGUCUGUGAUGCAAAUGCACCAUUAGUUGUUCUGAUCUUUCGUGUUGAUUUUGUGCAAAGCAGCGGGCUGUGGUUCUUGUGCUGGGGCCGUUGAGGUCACGUGACGGAGCCAAACUGCUGGCCUCAUUCAGAACAUCUGCAAACAACAACAGAAAAUAUCUGCCUGCACAGGCCUUGAACCACAAUCAGCAAUUAUGUUUGCGUAGGUAAUACCAAUGCAUGGGUCAGAUUUUAAGAGCUUUUAAUUAUAGGGUUCCAUAUAACAAUUACAUUUAAAAAAUUAACAUGGGCAUGCUCUUUGUGUCUUUAAGGACUUAACAGAGGAAAUAGUUUUAUAAAGUAUGGCAAUACUAACAUGAAUGAAUAACAAAGCAAUGAUAUGCAAUGAGAGACAGAAGACAGGGCCACAGUGGGCAGGAUGGCAGAACUGCAAUCAAACUCACCAGUUGACUCUCACGUUAUACCGACUCUCAUCAAUGGCCAUUGCUUUAGUCAUAGCUACGAUCGCCCCCUUGUGGAAAAGCAUGAAUAUUACACCUUAAUCUAGCACAGUCAUAGUGCACAGCAGGCAGUGAAGACCUCAGCGCAAGAGUUAAGACAGACUACAACACACAAUUCAGCAGUUUAGGAUCCAGCAGAUCUACAUGGGUGUUGUGAUUUGAUUUAUUCUAAUAAAUACAAUUCAUUUUAAGGGCUCUUUUACCCUGAACACAAACACAGAGCAGUAAAGAGACACAUUAUUAUGCUCUG